GGGACCGCUGGGAAAGUGAGUCCUCCGCCGGGGACGGACGCGGUCGCCAUGGCGGCGGCGGCGGCUGCGGCGCCUGUUUCCGCGGGCUUCUUGGGUCCUUGCGUGGGCCUUGCCACCGCUCACUACUUUCCCAUGCCAUUCAGGCUCCCGCAAUUUCACCUUGCGGUCUCACGACUAUUUUUAUUGCCGAGGGGAGUUGCUCCUCAGUCCGGCCUUGAAAGGGCCUCAGCGACGGCGUGGGGGCUCCACAGGAAGGCGUGGUCUUGGGGAGGACGCUGUCCAGGCUCCUUUCCAAGAAGCGCAGAUGUCCAUCGUCUUUCCUGUCACUGGCAACGGAGGCCUUGCGCUCCCAGCUCGUCCAAGACCUCAGUGCGAGAGGAACAAUUACGAUUGCCCUAAAGGGCAUCUUCCUGCUUACCCUGCAUUCCACGGCUCUCCUCCCGGCGCUUUUAGGAACGCGGAGGGGGCUUCUCCACGAAUAAGGGAUUGGUGUUACCCGCACGUUCUACGUUUAUCCAGAUAUUUGCCCAUGAAUGUACAUUGCAGCGUGGUUUUUAAUAGGAAACGAUCUAAAUGUCCCUCAGAAUGGGAUAGUAAUAGAAAACAAUAUAGCCUUUAUGAAUUACUAAAGAGUUAUUAAAAGAAGUAGAUCUGUAAUGGUAAGAAACACCAACAGCAGGCAGUUGCAAAAUAAUGCAUAUUUAUGGUUGCAUUUGUAUUUUAAGUUAUAUAAACAUGCAUAUGUUUUUGCAAAUUCAUGGGGAGAGAAAUCACACUAAAGAGGACAGCAACUCCGAAAAAGUAUGUGUUGGGAUCUCACUCACUGUGUUGCCAAAGCUCAUCUUGAACUAGUGGACUCAACUGAUGUCCCAUCUCAGCCCCCUCAGUAGCUGAGAUUACAGGCAUGCAUCACCAUGCCUAGCUUCUGGCAAACCUUUUUUCACAUUACUCUCUGAGUGAUCUUGAAAUCUGCUUUGCCGUGUUCUUCACAUUUACUUUAAUCACACAUAAUUAAUCUCCCAAUAGUUCAUUAUGAUAAACUGAAGUUACAAGUAAGAGCAAUUUGAAUCUGCAAAUACACUAAUUUAUUAAUAAGUUAGCGUUGAAAGGGAGUAUCAAGUAAUGAUUGUGGAAAGAAGGCACUGCCCUGCUCUGAGUUGCUCCAUUUGUGUGGAACAGCAGUGCCCUGACUUAUUCCAUUUUAUAAAGCAGUUUGACCCGAGCUACUCCAUUUUGAAUUAAAGUGCUAAAGCAGAAUGACUCGAAAACUUGUCUGAGCAAACAGAUAACCUCCAGAUGGUAGACAUACAGAAUUCAUCAAGAAGAAUAACCUCCAGCAAUACAGCAUGAUCAUAAGGCACAAACUGAAAAUUGAAUAAUGAAUAAUGACCACUUGUGAACUUACCAAAUUAAAUCAGAAACUCAUGGAUGCAUGGACAUCAAACCCAUAUCAGAGAAACAAGGCGCCUGAGUUUAUCAAUCUCACCAGAAGUAAUCCUCUCACCUGAAAUACAUAAAAGGAGGACCACCAAAACGGUAAUGGGUGGUGUUGCAACCCAUCCAGUGAACUGCUCAGGAGGUCCACAGGUAACAAACUCCCAACUCUGUUCCUAGGACUUCAGCUCAGCAGGUCCUCACCCUCCCCCACUUCUCAACUGCCUGCCCUCUGGACCUUGGCUUAGAAUAAGUUCAGCACCCUGAUAGCCUUGACCCCUGAGCAAGUUCUUCAGCUGGUUCCUGAUCUGACCACUUGCAGUAAGUCUUCUGUAGUUAUAUUGCUCCCUGCCAUUGGGCCUCUUGAAACCCUGUGUCCACCCUUAACCUUCCUUAGCCUUCUGUAACCUAUAUAGCAUUGCGUUAAGUAUGAUGUGUGAUUUGAGUGUUAUAAACAUUAGUAAUUAAGACUGAAAUGGAAUGGAAGAAAUCAUGAUUGCCAGGGUCAUAACACCAAGUGAACCAUGAGUAAUUUCAGGAAUUUGAAGCUGAUGAAAUUGAUGUAGCUUGUAAAUUUAUUAUUACUCAAUAAAUCCUGACAAUGUGGAAAGACA